CCUGCGGAAGGAUCAUUACCGAGUGAGGGCCCUCUGGGUCCAACCUCCCACCCGUGUCUAUCGUACCUUGUUGCUUCGGCGGGCCCGCCGUUUCGACGGCCGCCGGGGAGGCCUCGCGCCCCCGGGCCCGCGCCCGCCGAAGACCCCAACAUGAACGCUGUUCUGAAAGUAUGCAGUCUGAGUUGAUUAUCAUAAUCAGUUAAAACUUUCAACAACGGAUCUCUUGGUUCCGGCAUCGAUGAAGAACGCAGCGAAAUGCGAUAAGUAAUGUGAAUUGCAGAAUUCAGUGAAUCAUCGAGUCUUUGAACGCACAUUGCGCCCCCUGGUAUUCCGGGGGGCAUGCCUGUCCGAGCGUCAUUGCUGCCCUCAAGCACGGCUUGUGUGUUGGGCCCCGUCCCCUCCCCCGGGGACGGGCCCGAAAGGCAGCGGCGGCACCGCGUCCGAUCCUCGAGCGUAUGGGGCUUUGUCACCCGCUCUGUAGGCCCGGCCGGCGCCAGCCGACACCCAACUUUUAUUUCUAAGGUUGACCUCGGAUCAGGUAGGGAUACCCGCUGAACUUAAGCAUAUCA
rnacentral:rRNA from 1 species